rnacentral:rRNA from 1 species
UACGGAGGGUGCAAGCGUUGUCCGGAUUUAUUGGGUUUAAAGGGUGCGUAGGCGGCCUUGUAAGUCAGUGGUGAAAGCCUCCAGCUCAACUGGAGAACUGCCAUUGAUACUGCAAGGCUUGAGUACAGACGAGGUUGGCGGAAUUGAUUGUGUAGCGGUGAAAUGCAUAGGUACAAUCAAGAACUCCGAUUGCGUAGGCAGCUAACUAGGCUGUAACUGACGCUGAGGCACGAAAGCGUGGGGAGCGAACAGG